rnacentral:rRNA from 1 species
UACAGAGGGUGCGAGCGUUAAUCGGAAUUACUGGGCGUAAAGCGUGCGUAGACGGUCAAGUAAGUCGGGUGUGAAAGCCCCGGGCUCAACCUGGGAAUUGCAUUCGAGACUGCGUGGCUAGGGUGCGGAAGAGGGAAGCGGAAUUUCCGGUGUAGCGGUGAAAUGCGUAGAUAUCGGAAGGAACACCAGUGGCGAAGGCGGCUACCUGGAAUGAUACUGACACUGAGGCGCGAGAGCGUGGGGAGCAAACAGG